UAAGUAGGGUAAAGGCACCUAUUACCGUGGUAGUUAAGGAACUUUUCAAAAGAGAUCCAAAAAUUAAGGGUAUCAAUGCUGUCUAACAGCCAGGAAUAUUUUUUUUUCAUCAGAGCAUUUAAUGAACUUUCCGUUUCACACGUUUUUGGAUUCAUUUUGGGUUAUUAUAUGUAUUAAAAUAUUUUUUGAAGCCAAAAUGACCAAAUCUUCUAUUACCGUGGCAAGGGACAGGCUGUGAUUCUAUUAACGCGAAUUGAGCUUUCAUUACCGAGGGUACAAUUGGCAUGAUUUUUCUGCACUCGUUAAUAGAAAUCAAACUCAAAAUUCGAAACCUAAUACCGAGGGUUAAAACAAUAAUAACGACGUGGGUUCUGUAUAUUAUUUUUGUGUCAUUAACUUUAAUAAUGACACAAAAAUAAAAAAUAAAACUAUAGGAGUAUGUUUAAAAAUAAGAGAUAUAUUCGAAGAGAUUAUAAUUACACUUUGGCACAAUCAAAUACUAUUAAAUAGUUAACUUACCAAGUACCCACGAGUACCUGUAUAAUAAGUUAUAAGUUGAAUGUUUUACAUGUAAAACAACAAAAAUUACUAUUAGUAAAGUUUUACUAAGGACGUAUAUGACAAAUAGGCCUGCCUGUUAUUAAAUAAAGUAAUUUUUAAAUGCUAUAAAGAUUGAUAAGAAUUUGUCUUACUGACAUAAUUAGCUGCACAAAAAAAACAAGUAAGUAACAUUUACUCAUAAGGCACAGCGUAAAUUAUAGUCGAAAUUUUAUAAGCUGGACGUUUACCACCUGAGUGAAAGUUUACCACAGUGAAAUGGUAAACGUCCACCUUAUAAAAUUUCGACUAUAUAUAAAAACAUGAAAUUUUUUAAUUCUAAUAUUUUUGUUAAGGUAAUUAAGUUAAAUAAAGUCUCUCACAUAUUAUGUGUUAUAAUUUACCCGUUUAUAAUUAACAAAUCACAGUACUUUUCUUAUUGCUGAUUCUUAUAGCUAAAAAAAUCAUGUCUGAGAUUUUGGACUACUGUAUAAAUAAAAUUAUAUAAAAAAAAAAUCUAAUCGGAAAUGUCCGGCAAAGAAUUUAAAUCUGAUAAUGAUAACUGAAGUCUAAAUUUUAUCAACGAAAUCUGUACUUGCGGUACCCUAAAUGCGAUAUUUCAAUACAAUACCUAAUAGUCACUCGGUAAUAGAUAACUCUUUAAGAGCCUAUUACCGACCCAUUCGAUAUUUCUCUGGGUCGGUAAUAGAUUUCUAUACAUUCUAUUACCGAGGGUAAUCUGAUCAUACCAUCGGUAAUAGGCUUAAUUUGGAGUUUAAUUAAACCUAAUUCCGACCCAUACAAAUAAUAAAACACAGAUGGUUUUUCAAAUCAAAUCAAACACGUAUAUUACAAGCUUCUUGUAAAGACAAAAUCACAUAACUGGCAAGUAAAUUUUAGGUUUUAACUCAAAAUAAAAAAAAGUUGACAGAUUAAGGGUUCCCAUAGAAACAAGGAAAUCGGUGCUGAAGUGUUUGUUAAAAAUUAAGGGUUAGUUAAAUACUUUCCAUAACACGGAAAUAGCUCUUUAAUAGCGUGAAUAGAUCAAGAUUGGAAUAAAUAAAAUAAAUUAUAAAAUUGAUAAUUUGUACCAAAACUAAAGAGUAAAUAACAAAACUAACACUUUUUCUAUUACCGUGGCAUACCACGGAAUUACUUACCACAGAAGUAAUUGGCGCCUAUCUCCGCUGUAUUUUAUUUUCAAUUUUAAACGUAUUUCCGGGUCAAAAACUAAGUUAAAAGUAAUUCAAAAUCGUGUAGAAAACAAUACACAACCUCUUAAAAGGCAUUGCACUAGUUUAUUUGCCAUAACUAUUACGUAAAACACUAAGUAAGAUUGGA